CCUACGGGGGGCUGCAGUGGGGAAUAUUGGACAAUGGGGGCAACCCUGAUCCAGCCAUGCCGCGUGUGUGAAGAAGGCCCUCGGGUUGUAAAGCACUUUCAGUGAGGAAGAACGCCUGGUGGUUAAUACCCAUCUGGAAAGACAUCACUCACAGAAGAAGCACCGGCUAACUCCGUGCCAGCAGCCGCGGUAAUACGGAGGGUGCGAGCGUUAAUCGGAAUUACUGGGCGUAAAGCGCGCGUAGGUGGCUUGAUAAGCCGGUUGUGAAAGCCCCGGGCUCAACCUGGGAACGGCAUCCGGAACUGUCAAGCUAGAGUGCAGGAGAGGAAGGUAGAAUUCCCGGUGUAGCGGUGAAAUGCGUAGAGAUCGGGAGGAAUACCAGUGGCGAAGGCGGCCUUCUGGACUGACACUGACACUGAGGUGCGAAAGCGUGGGUAGCAAACAGGAUUAGAUACCCUUGUAGUC
rnacentral:rRNA from 1 species